UGUUCUGUGGCUUAGUUGGUUAAAGCGCUGGUCUAACGAGUUCGGAGCCGUGGGUUCUUAUCCCACCAGAACAU
rnacentral:tRNA from 1 species